CCGAGCAAAGCGGAAAAGUCGAAUACGUGCGCGAAAGGCUGUUGAGAUCGCUCCCAACAGCCUUUCGCGCACGUAUUCGACUUUUCCGCUUUGCUCGG